UACAGAGGGUGCGAGCGUUAAUCGGAAUUACUGGGCGUAAAGGGCUCGUAGGUGGCCAACUAAGUCAGACGUGAAAUCCCGUCAGCUUAACUGGGGAACUGCGUCUGAUACUGGAUGGCUUGAGUUUGGGAGAGGGAUGCGGAAUUCCAGGUGUAGCGGUGAAAUGCGUAGAUAUCUGGAAGGAACACCGGUGGCGAAGGCGGCAUCCUGGACCAACACUGACACUGAGGAGCGAAAGCCAAGGGGAGCGAAACGGG
rnacentral:rRNA from 1 species